UGGGUGUUCACAAAGGGAUGCGGCGUGUA
rnacentral:piRNA from 1 species